rnacentral:misc_RNA from 1 species
UACGGAGGGUGCAAGCGUUGUCCGGAAUCAUUGGGUGUAAAGGGUGUGUAGGUGGAGAUGUAAGUCAGGGGUGAAAGCCCGCGGCUCAACCGCGGAACUGCCUUUGAUACUGCAUUUCUUGAGUCCUGGAGAGGUCACUAGAAUUCGUGGUGUAGCGGUGAAAUGCGUAGAUAUCACGAGGAAUACCAGAGGCGUAGGCGGGUGGCUGGACAGGUACUGACACUGAGGCACGAAAGCGUGGGGAGCAAACAGG